GAAGGAGGGAAAUGCCUUACCCGCACAGGAAUUCAUCCGCUGCAUCCAGGGAUAAACAGGGCUCGUGUACUUCCGGUCGGUGCCUUCCUCGUGGAGGGCUUUGCCCUGCACGCUGCUGCUGUCAGAAUUCUACAACGCGCUACUAACCCGUUUCCGGGGGCUCCGGACACCACUCUGGUCAGAAAAAUCAGGCAAACGAAGCAAGCAAUCACCGGAGAACUCUGUAUUAGUAAGGUUUGUAUUCGUGUUCGCUUGUUUCCCCCUUCUUCCUUUCUCUGAAAUUAGCCCCAUAGGCAAGAACAGUGUACUGAAGCUCACAAAAA